UACGUAGGGGGCAAGCGUUGUCCGGAAUCAUUGGGCGUAAAGAGCGCGUAGGCGGUCCGGUAAGUCCGCUCUGAAAGACCGGGGCUUAACCCCGGUUCUGCUUCCGGUACGGGCAUGCUGGAGUGUGGCAGGGGGAGACUGGAAUUCCUGGUGUAGCGGUGGAAUGCGCAGAUAUCAGGAGGAACACCGGGUGGCGAAGGCGGGUCUCUGGGCCAUUGACUGACGCUGAGGAGCGAAAGCGUGGGGAGCGAACAGG
rnacentral:rRNA from 1 species